rfam:Glossina fuscipes fuscipes unplaced genomic scaffold Scaffold15, whole genome shotgun sequence.
AUAAGUCGUUACAUGGGGAAAGUUGUAACGAGGAACCUAUCAAGUCCGAACAUAAGCAUGUAAUAGAGAUUGAUAGCUCUUUCUCGAAUUUUUGGUUGGUGGUGCAUGGCUGUUUCCAGUUCGUGGAGUGAUUUGUAUGGUUAACUCCGACAAUGAACGGGACUUAAAUAUACAUAAAUAGAUGUUUUCAAGAGUAUGAUGUUGAAGCUUUUAUGACUUUCAUUUAGUACCAUACUAAAUUUUUGCAGUCUUUUAACAUGUUUUUAAGAGUGGAGCGACAACUGUUGGUUUGUCGUUUUAUAAGGCAGCAAUUUCUUAAAUAAACGAAUUGAGUAUGAUGAUCAUAGUAAUGAGAUUGAGCAAUAACAGGUGUGGGCAUCACUUGGGCUGUACGCGUGCCACAAUGAAAGUAUCAAUGUGUAUUUCCUAGACCAAGAGGUUCUGGUAAAGCGCUGAACCACUUUCAUGCUUGCGAUUAUGAAUCGAAACUGUUCGUAUGACGUUGGAACGUCCAGUAAGUGUGGAUCAUUAAUUGACGUUGACCACGUC